AAUAGAUACCCCCGGUAGUCCACGCCCUAAAACUAUGUCGACUAGUUGUUGGGGGAGUCUGUCCCUCAGUAACGUAGCUAACGCGUGAAGUCGACCGCCUGGGGAGUACGGUCGCAAGAUUAAAACUCAAAGGAAUUGACGGGGACCCGCACAGGCGGUGGAUUAUGUGGAUUAAUUCGAUGCAACGCGAAGAACCUUACCUACCCUUGACAUGCCAGGAACCUCGCAGAGAUGUGAGGGUGCCCGAAAGGGAACCUGGACACAGGUGCUGCAUGGCUGUCGUCAGCUCGUGUCGUGAGAUGUUGGGUUAAGUCCCGCAACGAGCGCAACCCUUGCCAUUAGUUGCUACAUUCAGUUGGGCACUCUAAUGGGACUGCCGGUGACAAACCGGAGGAAGGUGGGGAUGACGUCAAGUCCUCAUGGCCCUUAGUGGGUAGGGCUUCACACGUAAUACAAUGGCGCGUACAGAGGGCUGCAAACCCGCGAGGGGGAGCCAAUCCCAAAAAGUGCGUCGUAGUCCGGAUUGUUCUCUCGCAACUCGAG
rnacentral:rRNA from 1 species